rnacentral:rRNA from 1 species
UACGUAGGGUGCAAGCGUUGUCCGGAAUUAUUGGGCGUAAAGAGCUCGUAGGCGGUCUGUCGCGUCUGGUGUGAAAAUCCAGGGCUUAACCCUGGACCUGCAUCGGGUACGGGCAGACUAGAGUGCGGUAGGGGAGAUCGGAAUUCCUGGUGUAGCGGUGAAAUGCGCAGAUAUCAGGAGGAACACCGGUGGCGAAGGCGGGUCUCUGGGCCGAUACUGACGCUGCGGAGCGAAAGCGUGGGGAGCGAACAGG